GCUGCUUGCUUCAGCAGAACAUAUAAUUGGAAUGAUACAGAGAAGAUUAGCAUGGCCCCUGCGCGAGGAUGACGCAUGAAUUGCUGAAGCAUUCCUUUUUCUU